GAAAUAGAGACCUAAGAUACUGUUUUCAAAAAGGGUUGAGAUCCCUAGGAACCCAAGAGAAGGCAGAUGGCUGGAGGCAGCUGCAGACUCCGGCAAGAAUGCUGAUCUGAAUUCUAGCGAGAAAGGGUGGCUAGAGUAGCUUCACACACACCCUUCACUCUCCUGUUGAUUCCCGAGAGACAGAAGGAAGAAAUGAGGUUGGGAUUCUCGGGAAGCAGGAGGAAAGGAGGAAAAUAAGAGUUGAGACUUGAAAGCUCUGAUACCAUGAAGAAUCAGAAAAAUAGAGAAGAAAUGUUUGAGAAAAUUAGCUUGAUUAUUCCCUCAAG
rnacentral:misc_RNA from 1 species